UACGUAGGGUGCGAGCGUUAAUCGGAAUUACUGGGCGUAAAGCGUGCGCAGGCGGUUUUGUAAGCCAGAUGUGAAAUCCCCGGGCUUAACCUGGGAAUGGCAUUUGGGACUGCAAGGCUUGAGUUUGGCAGAGGAGACUGGAAUUCCUGGUGUGAGCAGUGAAAUGACGUAGAUAUCAGGAGGAACACCGGUGGCGAAGGCGGGUCUCUGGGCCGAUACUGACGCUGAGACGCGAAAGCGUGGGGAGCAAACAGG
rnacentral:rRNA from 1 species